GAUGAACGCUAGCGGCAGGCCUAACACAUGCAAGUCGAGGGAGAGGUUACCUUCGGGUAACCAAAACCGGCGCACGGGUGCGUAACGCGUAUACAAUCUGCCUUGCACAUAGGGAUAGCCCGAAGAAAUUUGGAUUAAUACCUAAUGGUAUAUAAGAGCGGCAUCGUUUUUAUAUUAAAGCUACGGUGGUGAAAGAUGAGUAUGCGUUCUAUUAGCUAGUUGGAGAGGUAACGGCUCCCCAAGGCGACGAUAGAUAGGGGUUCUGAGAGGGAUGUCCCCCACACUGGUACUGAGAUACGGACCAGACUCCUACGGGAGGCAGCAGUGAGGAAUAUUGGACAAUGGUCGGAAGACUGAUCCAGCCAUGCCGCGUGCAGGAUGAAGGUCCUAUGGAUUGUAAACUGCUUUUGUAAGGGAAGAAUAAGGAGUACGUGUACUUUGAUGACGGUACCUUACGAAUAAGCAUCGGCUAACUCCGUG
rnacentral:rRNA from 1 species